ensembl:lncRNA
CCCGGAGCUGCCCGAGCCGGACCGGGCCGGGCCGGGGCCGCCGCACAGCGCAGCGAGGAGCUCUCCCCGCUAAGUGCCAUUUGCGUUUGGCUGCCUCGCACCGCCCGUCUCUCUUCUCUUCUUUCCUUCCCCCCUUCCUCCCCCUUUUGUCUCUCUUCUAUUUCUCUUUUUGCCCUCUUUCCCCCAUUCCCCCCCCCCCCCCCCUUUUUCCCUCCGCAUCCCAUCUCUCAUAGUUCUGGGUCCAGCAGCUCUCGCCGAUCCGAAGUUGUUUUGCUCCGACAAGCACCUAGAGGUUAAUUUCUUGAAGUGCCCCAUGAAAAGCGAUUAGCCUGGCUCCCGAGAAGUAUUUUCUAAUUACGUGCAAGCCCUCGCUCUGCUGCUACCCCAUAAUUAAACCUCUUCAAGUCACCACGCGCGGGGCAGCACCUCAGGGUUCCAGCACCGCUUUUUCUCGCCGGGCUGCGGGAGCUCCGCCAGCGGCUGCCCGGCGCGCAGGGCUUUAUCCUGGGGAGAAAAUCACUGCGGGGCACCGGGAGAGGCGCUUUAAGAACAGGGGUUGGGGCCGCCCGUUCCCGGUCCCCGUUCUCCUCGCAGUUCAACCCCGUAUAUUCUAACGGGGCUCACGUAGGGGUCACCCCUUUAAAGAAAUCCUUUUCUUCCCUUCCUGCUCCCCGUUUCCUCCCUCUGACAUCCGGUGUUGGGGGCUGAGGGCUGAGGACAGGGCACAGCGCGCCGCCUCCCGUCCCCUCGGCCGCCCGAGGUCCCCACUGAAAUUCGGGGUGGGCGAAGCGACCGCAGCCCCCUCGGAACCCCGGCAGCUUUCCUGGGAGCGGCGGCGGCGGGCAGAGCCCGGCCUCUCGGCUGCCCUUCCCCUCCGCAGCCGGGUUUUCACCGUAUUAUCGACAAUUAAAAAUAGAUUUUUAUUAUUGUUGUUGUUGAAAAUCACCACAUCUGUCAGGUUGCUCCCGUGCCAGGCGCGAUGCGACACAUCCAGAGCGACUGGUGCUUCCGAGCAGGGCCGGGCCGGGUUGUCGGUGGCAUCUCCCCAGCAGCGUUACAGAGAUUUUCCCAUGGCCGCGGGUAAGGGCUCGGCUGCCGCUGACUCGCGGGACGCCGCCGGCUUUAUCCCAGCCGUUCCCCGGGGAGCGAACGAAUGAGGCCCGGUGGCAGCGUCCCGGCUCGGGAUGGGGCCGACGGGCACCGCCGCGAUUCCACCCACGGGCGGGGGACGGACCCCCCCGGGGCGGAGGAGCGGGAGGGGAGAGCCGGCCCCUUCCCCGCCCUGCCCCCUGCCCGGCCCCUGGCCUGGCCCGGCCCUGCCCUGUCCCUGCCCCGUCCCCGUCCUUGUUCCUGCCUCUGUCCCUGUCGCUGUCCCCGUCUCCGUCCCUAUCCCUUUCCCUGCCCAUACCCUGCCCCCGUCCCCCGUCCCUGUCCCUGUUCCUGUCCUUGCCCCUGCCAGGGAGUGCCCGUGGCACCUCUGUGCGCCUCCCUGCACCACUGUGCACCUCCUGGUCUCUCUUUGCUGGCGGCCGUGGAGGCCAACAUCGAAAAUAAGGAAAUAAUGAUAAUAAAAAGACUUUUUUUGGAAAACGUAGCUGAGAUCCACGAGGUAAACGCGAGCUUAGUGCCCGAUUGUAUGGUGUUCGCACGGGGAAAAGGAAAAGAUGGAAGGUAAAAGAAAGAACUGAAUAAGAAAUGAAAUAAAAUGAAAUAGAAGACAGAUAAUAGAAUAAAGGGGGAAAAAAGAAAACAGAAGGAAAGAAUAAAAAUAAAACAAAAUGAAACGAAGGAAAAAGAGUGAAAGAAGGUCAGGAAUGGAAAAGAACGAAAAGGAAAAAUGGAAAUGAAAAAGGAAACGGAAAAAGGAAAAGGAAAAAUGGGAAAAGAAAAUGAAAAAGUACGAAAUUAAAAGAAAGGAAAGGAAAGGAAAGGAAAGGAAAGGAAAGGAAAGGAAAGGAAAGGAAAGGAAAGGAAAGGAAAGGAAAGGAAAGGAAAGGAAAGGAAAGGAAAGGAAAGGAAAGGAAAGGAAAGGAAAGGAAAGGAAAGGAAAGGAAAGGAAAGGAUGGAAGAGAAGAGAAGAGAAGAGAAGAGAAGAGAAGAGAAGAGAAGAGAAGAGAAGAGAAGAGAAGAGAAGAGAAGAGAAGAGAAGAGAAGAGAAGAGAAGAGAAGAGAAGAGAAGAGAAGAGAAGAGAAGAGAAGAGAGAAAUAAAGGAAAAGGAAAAGAAGGAAUAAUGAAGGAAAAGAGAAGAAAAAUAAAACAAGAAAAGAAAAGAAAAGAAAAAGAGGAAAGAGAGAGAAAGGAAAAUGAAAUAAAAGAAUAAGAGGAAAGGGGAAAGAAAAGGAAAAAAAAAGAAAAGAAAAGGCCAACGAUUUCUCAGGGCGGAGGCAGAGCAGCCCGGCCCGCUGCCCGCUGCCCGCUCCGGCGGAGCGCUGAGCACUCGCUUGGUUCAAGCGUGACCCGGGCGCGGCUGUGGGUGGCCCUGGGUGGCACCAGGUGGGACCGGGUGGCGCUGGGCUGCAUUUCCCUGCCCGGGUGCCCGCUCUUUGUUCAACCGAGGCUGCACCUCACGAACCCACCGACCAGAGGGGCAACCAGGGCCGAUCCAGCAGCCUUUUCCCGGCAUCGUGGGAAAGUUUCUUGGUUCGGGGAAAUAAAUAAAGCGUGCCUCCUCCCAAAAAAGAAACAAAAUCAUCCUAAAAAAAGAAAAGGAAGUUAAUAAACGCAAUAAAGCUCGCAGCGAAACUUCUGCCCCUGUCUUCGAGUCGCAGAAGCGUUGCGAAUAACUUUGCGAAGAGGGACGAACGAGAACGGUUCCCGAGCGCUGCGGGGUGGGAGCGUCCCCUGCAGCCCCCGACCCCCCCCCCCCCCCCCCCCCGGCCCCUCCCGACGAGCAGCGACUCCUCUCCCCUCACCCCUCUUCCCUCUCCCAUCUCCCCUCGCCCACCCGCGGAGGCAGAGGAGAUUCGGACUGGUGCAGCAAAAGAACCCUCGACGGCGUUUUUAUUGAAUUUUCCACGCAUCGCGUGUCCCUCUGCCCCACUCCCCCCUCGCACCGCAGACUCUCGUGGCCGUGGGGCUGUGUCGCUUCUCCGCUUUCCCCGUGCCUCGGAGGAGUUAAUCCGCGCAGACACAACAGCUCGUGUUAUGACGGCGGAGUUCGGCAACCCUACACCGAGCCGGGCUCGGCCGGGACCCGGGCUGCCCCACGAGGACUUGAAUUCCUCGGACUGCCCGAAUUUACACCUCGGCGUGGGCCCGGCAGCCAGAAAGCCACCGCGCUAAUGAACCGGGUGCUGCCCCAGCUCCACCCGGCAUCAGUUCUGCUGCCGUCUCGAAGGCGAUUUUCCAGCUGUUCCGAGAGCAUCGGCCUCCGUACGCUCGCACACAUACACACACGAUUCAUUUUUUUCGUGAUUUCCAAUGGGGGAAAAAAAAAAACCACCAAAAAAAGAAAAAAAAAAAAAGGAGUUGUUGCAGGGGAUUCCCUUUAGGAAGGCAGAAUGCAGGCUGGGUGCGGGGGACGGUGGAGAAUGCUCGUCCUCUCUCUGCUCCGUGGAAAAGUUUCUCGGGAAGUCGGCCGGCCCCGAGUCCCGCACUGCCCGUCGGGCCUCUCCCCGCCCGCUGAUGGGGGCGGCGGGCAUCGACCCCCCCGGGAGCCCUCG